rnacentral:rRNA from 1 species
GAUGAACGCUGGCGGCGUGCCUAAUACAUGCAAGUCGAACGCAUUGUGGUUGAAAUGAUAUGAAGAACUUGUUCAGAUUUGAUUUUCAACAUUGCAAUGAGUGGCGAACGGGUGAGUAACACGUGGGAAACCUACCUCUUAGCAGGGGAUAACAUUUGGAAACAAAUGCUAAUACCGUAUAAUAAUUAAAACCGCAUGGUUUUAGUUUAAAAGAUGGUCUUGCUAUCACUAAGAGAUGGUCCCGCGGUGUAUUAGUUAGUUGGUGAGGUAAUGGCUCACCAAGACAAUGAUACAUAGCCGAGUUGAGAGACUGACCGGCCACAAUGGGACUGAGACACGGCCCAUACUCCUACGGGAGGCAGCAGUAGGGAAUCUUCCACAAUGGACGAAAGUCUGAUGGAGCAACGCCGCGUGUGUGAUGAAGGUUUCGGCUCGUAAAACACUGUUGUAAGAGAAGAAUGACAUUGAGAGUAACU